rnacentral:rRNA from 1 species
CCAAUAGCGUAUAUUAAAGUUGUUGCAGUUAAAAAGCUCGUAGUUGAAUUUCGGGGUUCUACCGUUGGUCGGGCUACUGUCUGUACUGGCGUGUAGAAUUUCUACCUUCUGGGGAACUAUCAUGUUAUUAAUUUAGCGUGGUAGGAAACCAGGACCUUUACCUUGAAAAAAUUAGAGUGUUCAAAGCAGGCUUAUGUCUGAAUACAUUAGCAUGGAAUAAUAAAAUAGGACGGUGGUCCUGUUUUGUUGGUUUCUGAAUCACCGUAAUGAUUAAUAGGGAUAGUUGGGGGCAUUAGUAUUCAAUUGUCAGAGGUGAAAUUCUUGGAUUUAUUGAAGACUAACUACUGCGAAAGCAUUUGCCAAGGAUGUUUUCAUUAAUCAAGAACGAAAGUUAGGGGAUCGAAGACGAUCAGAUACCGUCGUAGUCUUAACCAUAAACUAUGCCGACUAGGGAUCGGACGAUGUUAAUUUUUCUUGACUCGUUCGGCGCCUUACG